rnacentral:lncRNA from 1 species
UUGGGAGGGCUCCUAGACAGCUCCAGCACCGGCUCCUCGCUUAAGCCCUUCCAAACACCACGUGUCAAACCAGCUCUUGCGCAGGAGCAGGAGCCAAAAAACGGCUGAGAGCCGGAGCCAAAAUUUUUGGCUCUGCGCAUGGCUUCGUUGCGCGCAUCUCUCCCUCAGCUAUCUCUCCACGUUUUCCUUGACGCCACCACACGUCUCCUUCACAGUGAAUUCAAAGGUGUAUGUGUGUGUGCAGUUUCAGAUUUUUUGCUGAAUGCAGUUUCAGAGGUGUGGUCGAAUGGUCGAUGAUUUGGUGACUUGAAUGCAGUUUCAGACUAUAAACACUUGAAUGCAGUUUCAGCGUCAGGUUUCAGAGGAGCCGUUUCUAGAGAAGACAUUUUGCCAAACAAUUUGUAAAAGACACUUAGCUCCUGUGAAAGAGCUGCUCCUUUGAAUGAGCCGGAGCCGGAGCCCUUUCUAGAGGAGCUGGAGCCCUCCCAAACGGGGCCUAA